UUCCUGGCAAUCCAGUGGUUAGGAUUCUGCACUUUCACUGCAGUGGGCCUGGGUUCAAUCCCCGCUUGGGAAA
rnacentral:tRNA from 1 species